CCUACGGGAGGCAGCAGUCGAGAAUCAUUCACAAUGGGGGAAACCCUGAUGGUGCGACGCCGCGUGGGGGAAUGAAGGUCUUCGGAUUGUAAACCCCUGUCAUGUGGGAGCAAAUUAAAAAGAUAGUAACACAAGAGGAAGAGACGGCUAACUCUGUGCCAGCAGCCGGGGUAAUACAGAGGUCUCAAGCGUUGUGCGGAAUCACUGGGCGUAAAGCGUGCGUAGGCUGUUUCGUAAGUCGUGGGUGAAAGGCUCGGGCUCCACCCGCGGACGGCACAUUAUACUGGGAGCCUAGAGUAAUGGAGGGGGAACCGGAAUUCUCGGUGUAGCAGUGAAAUGCGUAGAUAUCGAGAGGAACACUCGUGGCGAAGGCGGGUUCCUGGACAUUAACUGACGCUGAGGCACGAAGGCCAGGGGAGCGAAAGGGAUUAGAUACCCUUGUAGUC
rnacentral:rRNA from 1 species